rnacentral:lncRNA from 13 species
CUGACAUGAUUGCUGUUUGAUCACUGAUUAGUGAGUAAAGAGUUUGGGUGUAAUUGUAUGAAUUCCUCCCAGCCGAAGCAGCUUCCAGGCGAUUUAAAGGAACUAUGCCUGUUUGUCUGUCUUUGGACAUUCAGCAACAAGCAUGUAUAUGGGGAAAUGUGGAAAGCCAGUAUGCAUGCCUAGGAAAAGACACAGGCUCAGAAAAGACAUGAGAAGACAUUAAGCUUUUACCUCAAGCUGGUUCCUGGCACAAAUACUCCAUGCAACAAUCACAAGACAGCAAACCCAGGAGAUGGAGUCUCACUGUGCUGCCCAGGCUGGAGUGCAGUGGUGUGAUCAUAGCCCACUGCAACCUGGAACACCUGGGCUCAAGCAAUCCUCUCACCUCAACCUCCCAAGUAGCUAGGACUGCAGAUGUGUGCCACCAUGCCCAGGUAAUAUUAUUUUUCAUAGAGAUGGGGUCUCACUGUGUUGCCCAGGCUGUCUAGAACUCCUGGCCUCUAACCAGCCUCCUGCCUUGGCCUGUAAGCCUCACUUUUAUAUGCACUGAGAAACCAAACAAUUCAUGUGACUGCCUUUAUUGUGUUAUUUGCUUCAUUGCAGUUAUCUGGAACCAAACCCACAAUAUCUCAAAGGUGUAUCUGAAUAUAGGCUUUUCAAACAUCCUUAUCUCCACCUUCUAGUAUCUCUGUUGUUUUUGAAUCCAGGUUUACUGGUUGAGUUUUCUUUCAUUCAGGAUCCAUAUUUUUCUAUUUCUCUGCAUGCCUGAACUUUUUUUUUGGGGGGGGGGAGAUGGAGUUUCACUCUUCUUACCCAGGCUGGAGUGCAAUGGCACAAUCUCGGCUCACCGCAACCUCUGUCUCCUGGGUUCAGGCAAUUCUCCUGCCUCAGCCUCCUUAGUAGCUGGGAUUACAGGCACGCGCCACCAUGUCCAGCUAAUUUUUUGUAUUUUUAGUAGAGACGGGGUUUCACCAUGUUGACCAGGAUGGUCUCGAUCUGUUGACCUCGUGAUCCACCCUCCUCGGCCUCCCAAAGUGCUGGGAUUACAGGCUUGAGCCACUGCUCCUGGCCACCUGAACAUUUGUUAUCGGAUGCUGGGCAUCAUGAAUUUUGCCAAGUUGGUUGCUGUGUCUUGUCG